AGAGUUUGAUCCUGGCUCAGGAUGAACGCUGGCGGCGUGCCUAAUACAUGCAAGUCGAGCGAACGGACGAGAAGCUUGCUUCUCUGAUGUUAGCGGCGGACGGGUGAGUAACACGUGGAUAACCUACCUAUAAGACUGGGAUAACUUCGGGAAACCGGAGCUAAUACCGGAUAAUAUUUUGAACCGCAUGGUUCAAAAGUAAAAGACGGUCUUGCUGUCACUUAUAGAUGGAUCCGCGCUGCAUUAGCUAGUUGGUAAGGUAACGGCUUACCAAGGCAACGAUGCAUAGCCGACCUGAGAGGGUGAUCGGCCACACUGGAACUGAGACACGGUCCAGACUCCUACGGGAGGCAGCAGUAGGGAAUCUUCCGCAAUGGGCGAAAGCCUGACGGAGCAACGCCGCGUGAGUGAUGAAGGUCUUCGGAUCGUAAAACUCUGUUAUUAGGGAAGAACAUAUGUGUAAGUAACUGUGCACAUCUUGACGGUACCUAAUCAGAAAGCCACGGCUAACUACGUGCCAGCAGCCGCGGUAAUACGUAGGUGGCAAGCGUUAUCCGGAAUUAUUGGGCGUAAAGCGCGCGUAGGCGGUUUUUUAAGUCUGAUGUGAAAGCCCACGGCUCAACCGUGGAGGGUCAUUGGAAACUGGAAAACUUGAGUGCAGAAGAGGAAAGUGGAAUUCCAUGUGUAGCGGUGAAAUGCGCAGAGAUAUGGAGGAACACCAGUGGCGAAGGCGACUUUCUGGUCUGUAACUGACGCUGAUGUGCGAAAGCGUGGGGAUCAAACAGGAUUAGAUACCCUGGUAGUCCACGCCGUAAACGAUGAGUGCUAAGUGUUAGGGGGUUUCCGCCCCUUAGUGCUGCAGCUAACGCAUUAAGCACUCCGCCUGGGGAGUACGACCGCAAGGUUGAAACUCAAAGGAAUUGACGGGGACCCGCACAAGCGGUGGAGCAUGUGGUUUAAUUCGAAGCAACGCGAAGAACCUUACCAAAUCUUGACAUCCUUUGACAACUCUAGAGAUAGAGCCUUCCCCUUCGGGGGACAAAGUGACAGGUGGUGCAUGGUUGUCGUCAGCUCGUGUCGUGAGAUGUUGGGUUAAGUCCCGCAACGAGCGCAACCCUUAAGCUUAGUUGCCAUCAUUAAGUUGGGCACUCUAAGUUGACUGCCGGUGACAAACCGGAGGAAGGUGGGGAUGACGUCAAAUCAUCAUGCCCCUUAUGAUUUGGGCUACACACGUGCUACAAUGGACAAUACAAAGGGCAGCGAAACCGCGAGGUCAAGCAAAUCCCAUAAAGUUGUUCUCAGUUCGGAUUGUAGUCUGCAACUCGACUACAUGAAGCUGGAAUCGCUAGUAAUCGUAGAUCAGCAUGCUACGGUGAAUACGUUCCCGGGUCUUGUACACACCGCCCGUCACACCACGAGAGUUUGUAACACCCGAAGCCGGUGGAGUAACCUUUUAGGAGCUAGCCGUCGAAGGUGGGACAAAUGAUUGGGGUGAAGUCGUAACAAGGUAGCCGUAUCGGAAGGUGCGGCUGGAUCACCU
rnacentral:rRNA from 1142 species